CAAGCAUUAAUUUCCUACAAAUUGACACGUUUCAUAAUUCGGUGUCACUGCUUUCAUCGGCAUUUUCCGUUGCCGACAGAGCCCUCAACUGAAAACUUUCCACACAACUAUUUACCAGUAAGGCUUCACUACACUCACCAGCUGAAAAUAGUAACACUACUUAUGAGAUUAGGAUACGAUAUUUUGCCGAGCGGAUUUUAGCACGCAAAUUAGGUAUCAUUGUAGGAAGGUCAAAUGCACAAUACAAUCCAAUUUACAAUUGCCAUUAUCCGUAUGAAAUCCGACUCCACCGUCGCACAUCCACACAAACAGAUAGGCUCAUAACAAUAUAGACAGCUGCUAUUGCUUCAUUUCCAAAAUAAGGUACAAAAAUAACAUUAUCAUAAACACAUUAUUAUGCUCAGAGUACGUCCGAGUCGAUAGUUGGCAGGACGACGACAGUAACAAAGUCAACGAUCAAAAUGGAGAAACAAAACAAAAAAUACCGAAAAGCCAUCGUUAGGCAUAAAAGUGUGGGCAGAUAUUCCUGGGCGUCGGGCGAUGGUCCGGAGGUAGCUGAAAAUAUGGCUGUGCAAGAUGUUGCAAGUUUAAUAACUAAUUUAUUGCUGUGAAUUUAUUUACUUGCAACAAUAAAAUACAUGUAAUUGGCUAAAUAUUUGCUGGAGCGAAGCAGCCAGAUAAGUGUGGACCACCAAUGUGUCUGUGAAAAGUUGUUCGCUGGCUUGAGAACUGCCUGCCACCAAAGUCAGUCAACGCCUUCAAAUUGAUGGCGCUUUAAUAAUGCGUGCCGAAAAUAUUCCUACGCUAGCAGCAAAAGAAUGGGAAAGGCUGCUAAAUUCGAUGGCCGUUAACAGCACAACUCUCUCAUGGAGAUGACUUGGCGCUACAACAUAAAAGCAAACAAGAGAUCAACCAAAUUACCUUCUUUAUAAAAGGUGUAUAUUUUUGCUUUAAGUAUAAAUCACCUAAUUUAAUCGCUGGAGAGCUGCACAGGAAUUUCAAGCAGCACUUAUUUCAACAAACCAAAAAGUAAGAUGUUUUGGAGAUUGAAGAAGAAAAGAUCUAGAUAUAUUACAA